UACGUAGGUGGCAAGCGUUGUCCGGAUUUAUUGGGUUUAAAGGGUGCGUAGGCGGUCUAUUAAGUCAGUGGUGAAAUAUGGCAGCUUAACUGUCAGGGUGCCAUUGAUACUGAUGGACUUGAGUGAAGUCGAAGUAGGCGGAAUUGACGGUGUAGCGGUGAAAUGCAUUGAUAUCAUGAGGAACACUCAAGGCGAAGGCAAGCAAUUGGCACAUUUCCUGACGCUGAGGCACGAAAGCCAGGGGAGCAAACGGG
rnacentral:rRNA from 1 species